CGCAGAGUACAUGGGGGAUUGUUGCGGCCUCUCACCCGUCUCGGAACACGGAUCAAGGAGUUGUUUUGACCUGCAAGCUACAAUAUUAAAGUUAAUGGCGUAACUAAGGUCAAAUUUUUUUCUGCCUCGCCGCCGGAGUUUACUCCCGCCGCCUGGCAAAGUAGUUCGAUACAAUCCCGAAAGGUAGUGACCUAUACCUGAGCAGAAUCAAGCCAGUCGAAAUGCUGGUGGAAGUUCGUAGCAGUGCUGACGUGCAAAUCGCUUGUCGGACUUGGGUAUAGGGGCGAAAGACUCAUCGAACUAUCAAGUAGCUGGUUACUUUCGAAAUUUCUCUCAGGAUAGCAGCGAGUCGUUAAUAGAUCCGGCAGGUAAAGAGAAUGAUUGGUGGUCAGGGGCUGCUUGCGGCUUCUCCAGCUCUCAAACUGUGAAUCGGCCGGGACAGCGCGCACGGACUAAUCCGUCGUGCGCGCUUUGGUUAUAGACUCGUUAGUGGGCCACACUGGGUAAGCCGGUUUGGCAAGGAGGAUUCAGCCUUAAGUGCAGUUAAGAGGCGUAAUUCACGGCGUAUUAGACCAAACGAUGUGUACUGAUAUUGACAGCAGGAAGGUGGCCAUAAAAGUUGGAAUCCUCUAAGGAGUGUGUUAUAACUCACCUGCCGAAUCAUUACGCUCGGAAAAUUGAUCGCGCUUCAGCCGUGGCUCUAUACUGUGCCGUAAAACGGGUAGAAAGUGAUGGCUGCUGCUGUGAAGGGCCCGCGAGUGCGUGUCUGGAGCUCCAGCUAGUCCAGAUCUUGAUUGUAGUAGCUGAUAGUGCGGUCAGAUCCGCAUCGCUGAAGAGGAGAAGGCUUCCGCUUCAACAAAUUCUGAAAGUGGGUUAAUCGGUGCCUAAGCGACUGGCUAAAGCCAGAAGAAAUAGUCGAUAGGCAAAGGAGUUAAAAUUCUCCUAUACUUCCCUAAAGAGGUGACUCGUGGUGCACGCUCUGUCGUUGGGUCUCUGGGCGAGGGCUAUCUUUCCUCGUUAAUGCUACGUACUCUGCCGAAUGUUUCACGCAUAGAAGCAGACUGUGUAGCGAUAAUAAUGCCAGUAACUUGGCAUCCAAGUGGACCUGCCGGCUCUUGAAACAGUGUGCAUCUAAAGGGAAGCGCCGUACUUACAACCGCAUCAGGUCUCCUAGAUUAACAGUCUCUAGCGAGAAGACAACGUGUCCAAGGGAAGUCGGCAAAUUGGCUCUGUAACUUCGGGAUAAAGAGUGGCUCUGAAUGCGGUUUGCGCCGCGCCUUCUAAUCUGACCGCUAUCGGCCUUGUGAGCGAGCAAUCGCGAGCUUGGCUGUGUGUGGCCAGUCGAACGCGCGGCGCAUUAACGUCUGCUAAUUCAGAACUGGUACGAACAAGGAGAACCUGACUGUUUAAUUAAAACAUAGCGUCUCGACGACUUCAGUAAGUGCUGACGAGACGUGAAUCCUGCCCAGUGCUAUGACUGUCAACGUGAUGAAAGUCAUCCAAGCUCUGGUAAACGGCGGGAGUAACUAUGACUCUUUUAAGGUAGCCAAAUGCCUCGUCCAGUAAUUUUGGACGUGCAUGAAUGGACUAACGUGGUUCUCACUGUCCCUGGGUGCAUCUUCGCGAAACCACAGACUCGGGAACGGGCGAGUGAUUUUUUAUCUGCGGGGCAAGAAGACCCUGUUGAGCUUGACUCUAGCUUGAUGCUGUAGAAGGGUGGAGAUGAUGUAGACUACGAGGGAGCCGCAAGGCACCGCUGAAAAACCUCGGCUUCUAUUAUCUUUCUGCUAACUCAGUUGUUGCGGCCGACGUAUCGGCUUGCUGCUGAGAACACCGUUAGGUAGAGAGUUUGGCUGGGGCGGCGCGCCUGCUAAAGAGCAACGCAGGCGUCCUAAAGCAGGCUCAGAAAGGACGGAAACCUUUCGUGGAGCAAAAGAGCAGAAGCCUGCCUGAUUGUGAGCGUCAGUGUCGUUUACAACCGUGAAAGCGUCCAUCGAUCCUCUGCGCUAUGCUGUGCAUAGCCGGAGGUGUCAGAAAAGUUACCACAGGGAUAACUGGCUUGUGGCAGCCAAGAGUCCGUAUCGACGUUGCUUUUUGAUUCUUCGACGUCGGCUCUUCUCAGCGUAAUGAAGCAGCAUUCAUAAAGCGUCGGAUUGUUCACCCGUGCAGAGGAACGUGAGCUGGGUUUAGACCGUCGCGAGACAGGUUAGUUUUACCC
rnacentral:rRNA from 1 species